rnacentral:lncRNA from 1 species
AGGAGCAUCGAUGAGACUAAUGCUCUAGGACCACAAGAGGGGGAGAAACUACAUCUCAAACCAAAACCUUCAGUUGUUGGAUAAAUGAGUCAUCUCUUUUAUAAAUCCAACAUUUCACUCACUCGUAGGCAAUGUGGGACUUUAAUCACUUACACUUGCACCCAAAAGUAAAGACUAUUGCAGAAUGUCUCAUUCACAUUAAAUUGCUUUAACUAUCAACUUUCCGAUGUUGCUACAUGGUGAA